AUUGAACGCUGGCGGCAGGCCUAACACAUGCAAGUCGAACGAGUGGCGGACGGGUGAGUAAUGUCUGGGAAACUGCCUGAUGGAGGGGGAUAACUACUGGAAACGGUAGCUAAUACCGCAUACCAUCAGAUGUGCCCAGAUGGGAUUAGCUUGUUGGUGGGGUAAAGGCUCACCAGGGAGACGAUCCCUAGCCGGUCUGAGAGGAUGACAGGCCACACGGGAACUGGGACACGGUCCAGACUCCUACGGGGGGCAGCGGUGGGGAACUUUGCACAAUGGGCGCAAGCCGAAUGCAGCAAUGCGGCGUGUAUGAGGAAGGCUUUCGGGUUGUAAAGUACUUUCAGCGGGGAGGCGUUACCCGCAGAGGAAGCACCGGCUAACUCCGUGCCAGCAGCCGCGGUAAUUC
rnacentral:rRNA from 1 species